GCAUCUGAGCUGUACCCCUCUGUUGCACCCCUCUCCCAUCUGCUGUGAAUGUUGAAAGCUAAUGAUUCACAGCUGCUUCUUAUCCAGAGACCUGCCCUUGACCAACAGCAGCUGCCUCUCCAGGAAAUGCCUGGGAAACUAUGCCUUCCCCAGUCCCAAACCAGAGACUGGUUGAUACAGGGAUGUAAAAUAUUGACCCCUUACCUCAAGUUAGGAUAUAGCCUGGUUACCUUACAUCUUUCCCAUGGGAUUGGCCUUAAGUCAAAUAUCGGAGAUGAUUUACUUGUUUAGAGUCUUCCUUCCUCUACCUUUUGCCUUCAGAUUAAUAGAACUUUAUUCUGAGAUCACCCUUUCUAUAAAACACUUUGCAAAACAAUCUCUUUCCUUGCUCAGCUUCUAGAGAAUCUGUUAGCAGAGAUCAUGAGAAUAGCCUUGGACUGAACCUAAGACCACCUGCUUUCAAGCCCUGGUCCACUGAUGAGAAACUAGGAGUCAUCAGCAAGGAUCUCAACCUCACAGGGAUAAAACUACAGAAGGAUUUCUCCUGAGACCACACCUUCUGAGACCACAUUACUUUCAAGGACCCUGAAGGUGGGGGACUCUGGAAGAGGAGCUAAAGCAGGGCAGGAGCCAGCAUGGGACCCGCGCUGUUUCGGACCUCAGAAGAAGGAGGAUCCAGCGGCCAACCUUCUAAAAAAGGAGAGGAGCUGAAAAGCUUUGUAGAGAAGCCAAAGAGUUUCGCAGAGGCCAGGCCGGGCCGGCUGCACCUGCCUCGGCCUGCUUCUGACACAGCCUGCAAAGAGCACCAAAGACCAGGGGCCUGGUGUCUCAAAGAGCUGCUUGUUCUUGGUGUGGGCCAACAACUCACAAAGAACUGUUAGAACAGUAUUUCUGACACGGCCACCUCCUGGUGACCUGUGCUGAUAGGCAGUACUGGCCAGCGCUACCCAGAGCUGUCGAUGGGUGACUGGAACUCUGUGUCUGAGUCUCCUUUGAGAGCUGAUAAUUGGCACACCUCCUGGUGCUGCUGCUUCUGGUGCUGUCCAUCCUGACCUUCAGACUGUUGCUGGGGCUGCUGGGGUGUCAUCUCGGUGGCCCCACCUGCAAGAACCUCCAGCUGUGAUGAUUUGGAUCCUGGUCUGCUUCUUGCUCCAGGCCCUGCUUGGCAUGAUGGCACCAUGGAUGAGCGGCCUUUUGUUUGGGAGUCUGGACACUCUGGACAGCAUCUGGGAUGCUGGCAUAUCAUGGAUUAAAUUUUCGGUGAUGUUGGAUAUGCUUUCUUACUUCUGGAAAAGCUUUGCAGGAGAUGUCCAGACCUGGGAGGGAAGAAUCAGACUGAAAUCUGUGAACUGCCCUAAGUCAAUCACAUGAAGAGACACAGGGUUCGAAGGCAGCCACCUGCAAGCCAAGUAGAGAGGCCUGCAUAGGCCUCUCCCUCACAGCCCUCUGAAGAAACCAGUCGUCCCAACACCUUAAUCCUAGACUUCUAGCCUCUGGAACUGCGAGACAAUGGAUCUCUGUUGUUUCAGUUGCUGUUUAUGGACCUUUUCUCCAAAGACCCCUGAACAGCUUACUUUAUUUCCCAUACAGUGUGACAUUCCUCUAUUUAACAAAUUUUGAAAAUUUCACAUGUGCAACAAGGAAAAAUAUGCCUCUCCUACGCCAUCCACAGAGAUAUCUCCAUCCUGCAACUCAGAUACCAAUAAACGACACAUCUGUGGCCAAAGUUCGAUGUUCACUCCCUGCAUUGAAUGAACCUGAGAGCAAAUGCUCCUUCAGAGGAGUCUGACCGCAGAAAACUCUGGAACAUCCAGACUCUGGAAAGGACUAACAGGAUUUAUAUGUACUGAUAGGAAAGGGCCACUCAGCACCUGGUGAUAACACCACAUUCAAUCAAGAGAAAUUAAAUUCUAACAGGAUUAAAGGAGUCAGCAGUUAAUACAUAGGAGCAAGAUUUCCCCCAAGCCGACAGGCUCAUUGAAAGUCUAUCUUCUAUGGAGGAAACUGCUAAGAACAUGACAUAAUGCAUUAAGGAUGGAGGCAGCUUAAAAUAUGUGCAGAAAUUCAGCCUUUUCAUUCCGGUAUGGCAACACAGAUUAGGUCUGAAUCUCCUAAGGUUUAUUGCCCUAUUUUCUAGCAGUGAAUGCAAAAACAUGCAUUAUUAUAGCUUUGUGGAACCAACCCAAAUAAACUAAAAUUAUAAAUCAAGUUUGUAGUGUGACUAUCAUACACACACACACUCUCACGCACGUAUACACACAAAUACACAUACGCAUUAAAACAACAA